rnacentral:rRNA from 1 species
UAGGGAAUCUUCCGCAAUGGACGCAAGUCUGACGGAGCAACGCCGCGUGAGUGAAGAAGGAUUUCGGUUCGUAAAACUCUGUUGUUAGAGAAGAACAGCGCAUAGAGUAACUGUUAUGCGUGUGACGGUAUCUAACCAGAAAGCCACGGCUAACUACGUGCCAGCAGCCGCGGUAAUACGUAGGUGGCAAGCGUUGUCCGGAUUUAUUGGGCGUAAAGCGAGCGCAGGCGGUCAAUUAAGUCUGAUGUGAAAGCCCCCGGCUCAACCGGGGAGGGUCAUUGGAAACUGGUUGACUUGAGUGCAGAAGAGGAGAGUGGAAUUCCAUUUGUAGCGGUGAAAUGCGUAGAUAUAUGGAGGAACACCAGUGGCGAAGGCGACUCUCUGGUCUGUAACUGACGCUGAGGCUCGAAAGCGUGGGUAGCAAACAGG